rnacentral:rRNA from 1 species
UACGUAGGGUGCGAGCGUUGUCCGGAAUUAUUGGGCGUAAAGGGCUCGUAGGCGGUCUGUUGCGUCGGGAGUGAAAACUCAGGGCUUAACCCUGAGCCUGCUUCCGAUACGGGCAGACUAGAGGUAUGCAGGGGAGAACGGAAUUCCUGGUGUAGCGGUGAAAUGCGUAGAUAUCAAGAGGAACACCUGAGGUGAAGACGGGUUGCUGGGCCAACACUGACGCUGAGGCGCGAAAGCCAGGGGAGCAAACGGG